AACGAACGCUGGCGGCAUGCCUAACACAUGCAAGUCGAACGAGACCUUCGGGUCUAGUGGCGAACGGGUGCGUAACGCGUGGGAACCUGCCCUUAGGUUCGGAAUAACUCCCCGAAAGGGGUGCUAAUACCGGAUAAUGUCUUCGGACCAAAGAUUUAUCGCCUUUGGAGGGGCCCGCGUUGGAUUAGCUAGUGGGUAGGGUAAAAGCCUACCAAGGCGACGAUCCAUAGCUGGUCUGAGAGGAUGAUCAGCCACACUGGGACUGAGACACGGCCCAGACUCCUACGGGAGGCAGCAGUGGGGAAUAUUGGACCAUGGGCGAGAGCCUGAUCCAGCAAUGCCGCGUGAGUGAUGAAGGCCUUAGGGUUGUAAAGCUCUUUUACCCGGGAUGAUAAUGACAGUACCGGGAGAAUAAGCUCCGGCUAACUCCGUG
rnacentral:rRNA from 1 species